rnacentral:rRNA from 1 species
CCUACGGGGGGCAGCAGUGGGGAAUAUUGCACAAUGGGGGAAACCCUGAUGCAGCGACGCCGCGUGAGUGAGGAAGUAAUUCGGUAUGUAAAGCUCUAUCAGCAGGGAAGAAAAUGACGGUACCUGACUACGAAGCACCGGCUAACUACGUGCCAGCAGCCGCGGUAAUACGUAGGGGGCAAGCGUUAUCCGGAUUUACUGGGUGUAAAGGGAGCGUAGACGGUUAAUCAAGUCAGGAGUGAAAAGCCGGGGCUCAACCUUGGGACUGCUGUUGAAACUGGAGGGCUAGAGUGCAGGAGAGGUAAGCGGAAUUCGGAGUGUAGCGGUGAAAUGCGUAGAUAUUAGGAGGAACACCAGUGGCGAAGGCGGCUUACUGGA